UCGCAAUUGAUAAGCAGUUCCAUGAAAUUAAAACAUCUUCAAUUUGCAUUAAAACCUCAUUUUAGCAUCGUUUUAACAAAGAACAAAAGCCAUUUCAAGAUAUUUCCAAACAGACCCAAAUUUUGUCCAUUUUAAUAAUAUUAGAAUCUCGCUCCGUUUGUCACAAAUCACAAUUUUUUUCAAAAUCAUCUUAAUUCCGACACUCUAUAGAGCAAUUAUUGCGACGAAUGAUGAAAACUCAUAGCAUUGACAUAUCUGGAAAAG
rnacentral:misc_RNA from 1 species